AGAGUUUGAUCCUGGCUCAGGAUGAACGCUAGCGGCGUGCUUAACACAUGCAAGUCGAACGAUCCUUCGGGAUAGUGGCGGACGGGUGAGUAACGCGUGGGAAUCUGCCCUCAGGAGGGGGAUAACGGCUGGAAACGGCCGCUAAUACCCCAUAUGCCGAGAGGUGAAAUGAAUUUCGCCUGAGGAUGAGCCCGCGUCUGAUUAGCUAGUUGGUGGGGUAAAAGCCUACCAAGGCAACGAUCAGUAGCUGGUCUGAGAGGAUGAUCAGCCACACUGGGACUGAGACACGGCCCAGACUCCUACGGGAGGCAGCAGUGGGGAAUUUUCCGCAAUGGGCGAAAGCCUGACGGAGCAACGCCGCGUGAGGGAUGAAGGCCUCUGGGCUGUAAACCUCUUUUCUCAAGGAAGAAGACCUGACGGUACUUGAGGAAUAAGCCACGGCUAAUUCCGUGCCAGCAGCCGCGGUAAUACGGGAGUGGCAAGCGUUAUCCGGAAUUAUUGGGCGUAAAGCGUCCGCAGGCGGCCUUGUAAGUCUGUUGUUAAAGCGUGGAGCUCAACUCCAUUUAAGCAAUGGAAACUACAAGGCUGGAGUGUGGUAGGGGCAGAGGGAAUUCCCGGUGUAGCGGUGAAAUGCGUAGAUAUCGGGAAGAACACCAGUGGCGAAGGCGCUCUGCUGGGCCAUAACUGACGCUCAUGGACGAAAGCCAGGGGAGCGAAAGGGAUUAGAUACCCCUGUAGUCCUGGCCGUAAACGAUGAACACUAGGUGUCGGGGGAAUCGACCCCCUCGGUGUCGUAGCCAACGCGUUAAGUGUUCCGCCUGGGGAGUACGCACGCAAGUGUGAAACUCAAAGGAAUUGACGGGGGCCCGCACAAGCGGUGGAGUAUGUGGUUUAAUUCGAUGCAACGCGAAGAACCUUACCAGGGUUUGACAUCCUGCGAACCCCUGAGAAAUCGGGGGGUGCCUUCGGGAGCGCAGAGACAGGUGGUGCAUGGCUGUCGUCAGCUCGUGUCGUGAGAUGUUGGGUUAAGUCCCGCAACGAGCGCAACCCACGUCUUUAGUUGCCAGCAUUCAGUUGGGCACUCUAGAGAGACCGCCGGUGAUAAACCGGAGGAAGGUGUGGAUGACGUCAAGUCAUCAUGCCCCUCACAUCCUGGGCUACACACGUACUACAAUGCUACGGACAAAGGGCAGCAAGCUCGCGAGAGUUAGCAAAUCCCAUAAACCGUGGCUCAGUUCAGAUCGUAGGCUGCAACUCGCCUACGUGAAGGAGGAAUCGCUAGUAAUCGCAGGUCAGCAUACUGCGGUGAAUACGUUCCCGGGCCUUGUACACACCGCCCGUCACACCAUGGAAGUUGGCCAUGCCCGAAGUCGUUACUCCAACCCUUGUGGAGGAGGACGCCGAAGGUGGGGCUGAUGACUGGGGUGAAGUCGUAACAAGGUA
rnacentral:rRNA from 1 species